rnacentral:lncRNA from 1 species
AGUGUUUGCUUGGAAAUUGCUGCCUGCAGCACCCCCAUUCCCGCGCAGCUCCCGCCCCCUGGGAGCCUAAGGACUAAAUAAACAGUUGUAACUCCAAACCUUGCGCCUGCCACCGCAGCCCUAUCCCACCCCUUUCCACCAGUCCUGCCCCUCCUUUUUUGUUGUUGCAACUUUGUAAGAUCCCGGGAAGGUGCUGAGACUAAGGCUCAGGCCGGGCUCCGGGUUUCCCGAUCCCUGCAGGGAUCCCCCGCGGCGCAUCCUCUUUCCCUAUUCCCUGGAGCUCGGGGGUCCUCUCCUUCUUGCUGCACCUUCUAUCUUUGCUCCUGGCCCCCUCCGCCUAAUCACCUCGUCCCCUUCGAGCCCCCCCCCCCCACAACCUUCACGGAAGGAAGAAUUGCUGAGGGUCGCCCCGGUCUCUUGUCGAUCGCAGACCCCGAAACUUUGCCCCAGGAGGACGGCGCGCGGCGGGCGAGCGGGCGAGCGGGCGAGGGGCAGCGGCGGCGGCGGCGGCGGCGGCGGCGCGGAGAAGCGUGGGGCUGCCGGCGCCUCCUCCCCGGACUCGGUGGCGUCCCAGGAGCUUCUGCUGACUCUCCUGGUUUCCGAGGGAACCCUUUCGGCCAUGGUGAGGGCUGCGCUCCCUUCUCUGCCUUGCGGUCAACCAUGAGCGGAUGGGUGUGAUGCCUGCUAGCCUAAAGGGCUCCUUCUGUGUGCUGCAGUCUUGUGGCGUUCUGCAGGCCCCCUGCCAGUGACCCCAGGCUUUUUAUGGCUGUGAGACUCAUUAAAAGCUCAGGGUAAGUGACCAAUGUCUGUGUCACCAAAGAGUAGAAAGAAAAUUGUGGCUCACUUGCUCUAGGAUCAGGCAAGAGUCCCAAAGUUGGCAGGUACGGGUCUGCUGCCACUUUCUGUGACAGUUGUAGGAAAAUUGUAUCUAUAGAUCCCUUCAGGGUUGGAGAUGAGAGCUCAGUGGGUGAAGUACUUGCCUUGCCAGCAUGAUAGCCUGAGAUCAUUCCUCUGCAUAAACAACAAUAAAAUUCAGGCAUUUGCUUAUCAUUGCUGAGGAGGCAGACAGGUGAAUCCUGAGGCUUUCUGGCCAGCCAGCCUGGCCUACUUAGUGAGUUUGAGGUCUCAGUUAAAGACCCUGCCUCACAAAACAACGUAAAUGGCCCCUGAGAAACGACAUCCUUGCCCUCCACACAUAUCCACAUAUGCACAUGUAUAUUUGUACAAACUCGAACAUGAAUGAUGUACACACACAAUCCUCACCCCAAACAGAGUGAACUAAAAAGAAUCCCAUUUGUGCCUGGUUGUGGACCAUAGUUACAGGAAGAUGUCGAAAUGCAGAGAUGGCUCACAUUGUUUCAAAGGGACCAGAGAGUGACUCUCAUCACCCUCCUGGGCCACAGUGUCUUUGGCAGUUAAGCACCUCUGCUAUUGGUUAGCAGAAUUAGCCAUAGGUACUUGAAAAAGGAAAUGGGUGAGGUCACUCUAUUCCCAUGAACCCAAGUAGUUAUUGAGCUAUUUUGACCCAGGUUUUCCUCCCCCAUCCUCUGAUGUAUCAAGGUUGGGGUACUGUCCCUGAACUUGACUGCUCAUGGGGUACUAGUCACUCUGACCUCGAGCAAACUGAAUGUGGAAGAUAAGAGGAUUUGAAAUACCUGCCCUUCCCACCUGGCAGAGGAGCUGCCCAGGUGAAGCAAGGUGGGCAGGCUGUGAAAGGCUUCCUUCCAUGUGAGGAAGGAAAGCUCUCCCGUCCUCUCUCUCGCUCCCCAGUCACCUUCAUUGUCAUUAGCCAACUAACCCAGGGUGGUGGAAUAUUCUUUUAUUUUGUGAGUCAUAUGGUUUCUGAGCUCCAACUGUGUUACACUUGAUGGACAUGCUGUUGAAAUAUCUCUUUAGUAUCAAAUAUGGAUGAAGGGAUACAUGGGUAGAUUAUGGCAGGCUAAAGAUCAAAUGCCAAUGAAGAGCGAUUAAAUUUCCUUUAAUCAUCAGAAUCUGAGAGGGCUUUAAGAUCUUCCACCUUUAAUAUAGGCCUUAAUAAAUAAUAAUGCUUUGAAUGGCUGCAGUAUGUUUGAAUUUCACAAGUCUUGCAUGUCAAAACAUAUAGACAGGCUCAGCAAAUACGUUUCUCUGGACUAGUAGUGCUAAUUAAGAAGGGAGGUCAGGGUUAAACAAACAGCUUUGAGAAUAGAAAGUGGGAAUAAUAAACCCAGUUUGAGGAUUUUCUAGGGGUUUUGUCCUCAUAGAAAAUGACAGUGCAACCUGAAUGGGUGUUUCUGUUUCGCUAUAUGAUUUGCAAAUGACUCUCCUAACAGAUGCAUCUGUGGGUACCUGAGAGAGUAGUUUGUGCCUUCUACCUUUCUACUCUGCCUACUCAGGACUGUUAGUUCUUUCUU